GAUGAACGCUGGCGGCGUGCCUAAUACAUGCAAGUAGAACGCUGAAGCUUGGUGCUUGCACCGAGCGGAUGAGUUGCGAACGGGUGAGUAACGCGUAGGUAACCUGCCUCUUAGCGGGGGAUAACUAUUGGAAACGAUAGCUAAUACCGCAUAAAAGUCGAUAUCGCAUGAUAUUGAUUUGAAAGGUGCAAAUGCAUCACUAAGAGAUGGACCUGCGUUGUAUUAGCUAGUUGGUGAGGUAACGGCUCACCAAGGCGACGAUACAUAGCCGACCUGAGAGGGUGAUCGGCCACACUGGGACUGAGACACGGCCCAGACUCCUACGGGAGGCAGCAGUAGGGAAUCUUCGGCAAUGGGGGCAACCCUGACCGAGCAACGCCGCGUGAGUGAAGAAGGUUUUCGGAUCGUAAAGCUCUGUUGUAAGAGAAGAACGAGUGUGAGAGUGGAAAGUUCACACUGUGACGGGAACUUACCAGAAAGGGACGGCUAACUACGU
rnacentral:rRNA from 1 species